UCCAGGGAGGGGCCGCCGCGGUCCCGGGAGGUACCGGCCCGAGCCGCGCUCCAGGGAGGCCGUGAGUCAGCUGGCCAAGCCCUGACUAGGAAGGAGGACCUGGGGACCCAGUGCCGCCCCCGGGCCCAAGGCCCGCCUCCCGCCGAGGGGAGCUGUGAAAGGACCGCUCCCUCCGCGCAGGGAGCCGCGGGUCCCAGAACCAGGGCCGUCGAGUCUCUGCGCCGCCAGGACUGCACGGGGCCCAUCUGCUCACCGGGCGGCGCCUCCCGGAGCCCCUUGGACUCUCAGAGGCUGCCCGGGAACCGGAAAAUCUAACACUGAAGACGCCUUGUCAGAAAAAUGACCUCUGCAGAGAUUACAGGAACCAAUCAAGGGGGUGUCUGAGUUUCUUCCAGCUAAAGUCUGAACAACAGCCUUCAAUGAAAAUGUCACCGCCACGGGUACCCACGGCGGGGUGAUGUCAGCUGGUGAUGGGGAGGAAGUGGGUCCCAGACACUGGGGCUUCCCGGGGUGGCCGGGGGGAGGCAUGGCGCCC